CUUGUUUAACUAAGAUCUCUUUUUCUCUGGGAGGCCUCUUUCGACGUUUUAAAACCGUAUCCAUUUAGUAGUUACGAAAACGGAAAAUUCGCUAUAGAAUUUGCGUCUAAAAGGUUCUGAGUGACAAAAAAUUUCGUAUAUUAUGGUGAAGCCCUCACUAGUUCAUGAAAAGAAGUAUUAUUUAUUUAAUGUCGAAGGGGGAGGCCAGGUCACACCUGCUUCACUAUUAUUGUCGCCUCUGCGACUCCAACUGCUCUUCGGAUUUAGUGUUGCGGCAGCAUCUGUAUGGAAAGAAACAUAGAAAAUCCUGUAUCAGCUGUAGUUCUUCUUUUGGGCAAAUAGACCAAGUAUUUUUAGGCUCAAAUUUAGUAUGCGAUUCUUUGGGCUCAUCUCUUCUUCCCUUUCCUGCAGAAGUCUUGGACUGUCGCCUUGAUGUAAAAAGUUUACUUUGAUUUAGCAAGAAUUUGAAACCCCUUUUGUUUUUCCAACCGUCAGCGAUCUUAGCCUACCAAUGACAUAUUCUUGGAAACGUUUUAUGAACGAUGUUCCCCUUCCGAGAGGGGUUUAAAAAGGAUUGUUAAUGUUGUAGAUGAAAUCCUCCUUAUUCUCAAGCCAGGCCCAAUCUCUUCUCACCUCAACACGAUUCUGGUAGGCUCCUUUCCCUCAAAGACCAUGAUUCGCUCCCGACCAACUUUUGACAUUGUUUUGCUCUUUGGAGCCAUCCCAAGCCCCGAAGAAGUAGGGGCACUUGCUUAUCUUAUCAAGAACGGCCAAUUCUGUGUAUCUUUGAGGCCUCCAUUCGGUCUUGUAGCUUCAAAAAAUAACAUUUGGGUAAAAGUGCUGUUAACGUCCUCCCAAGCGCUGCAAAGAAAGAACGGCCUGCCACCUGCCCACUAUGAAAUGCUGAAAAGGGGUUAGAUGCGGUUCGGCACGAAGUUUGGUUUUCCGAGCACCAAGCAGAUAAGAUUAGCCAAGCCGUUACCAUCAUCAAAGGUCUAGUUGACUGGCGAAGCCGAAGAAAUGGGGUUGAUCUUUUUCGUUCGCAUAACGAUAUUGAGGUUGAACUUGCACUUACCUCCGCUCUGGAAGAGUUCGGAACUUAUAACUGGCUAGCCCUCGCCCAUUGGGUGUUUGCUCGUGCAGAAUCUUCCAUUUGCUUAUGCAGAAUUGUAAAGGAGGUUUUUGGACUGCUAGCUUCGGGAGUUCUCCUCGCUUCUCACAUUAAAAACUUAAAAAUUGGGGAUGAAUGCGAGCCUGGGAAGGUUAUUAUUGUUCCAUCUUCCUGAUUAACAGCUUUGCGUGGACCACUCAUGGAAAGUAUUAGUAUUUUUAGACUAAAAAUCAGCUUAACAUACAACCUUUAACUUUUUAAAUAAAUUUUUUUGUUAAUAAGUUUAUAGGGGACCAGUUGACUUUUCAGCAACGCGAUCUCAUCACUAUGUUCGCUCAGCAUUUCCUCAGACUUUUGCUAUACAGGCAGCUAAAUCACCUUUUCUUAUCUCCCGGACAAGGUUUUGCCGAAAAUUCUACUGGUCUAAAAGAGGAAAUUCAGAAGCUUUCUGAAAAGCAGAUAAGUUUUUCAGCGUUGUGGCCCC